UACGGAGGGUGCACGCGUUAUCCGGAUUUACUGGGCUUAAAGGGUGCGUAGGCGGGUCUGUAAGUCAGUGGUGAAAUCUCCGGGCUUAACCCGGAAACUGCCAUUGAUACUAUAGGUCUUGAAUUAUCUGGAGGUAAGCGGAAUAUGUCAUGUAGCGGUGAAAUGCGUAGAUAUGACAUAGAACACCAAUUGCGAAGGCAGCUUACUGGGGAAACAUUGACACUGAGGCACGAAAGCGUGGGGAUCAAACAGG
rnacentral:rRNA from 1 species